UACGAAGGGGGCUAGCGUUGCUCGGAAUCACUGGGCGUAAAGCGCACGUAGGCGGCUAUUCAAGUCAGAGGUGAAAGCCCGGGGCUCAACCCCGGAACUGCCUUUGAAACUAGAUAGCUUGAAUCACGGAGAGGUGGGUGGAAUUCCGAGUGUAGAGGUGAAAAUUCGUAGAUAUUCGGAAGAACACCAGUGGCGAAGGCGGCUCACUGGUCCGGUACUGACGCUGAGGUGCGAAAGCGUGGGGAGCAAACA
rnacentral:rRNA from 1 species